rnacentral:rRNA from 1 species
GACGAACGCUGGCGGCGUGCCUAAUGCAUGCAAGUCGAGCGGGCUACGGUCUUCGGACUGUAGCUUAGCGGCGAACGGGUGAGUAACACGUAGGUAAUCUACCCUUCAGAGGAGGACAACCUCAGGAAACUGAGGCUAAACCUUCAUACGUUCACUGGUAGGGAUACUGGUGAAGAAAGAGUUACCUUAAAGGUAGCUGCUGAAGGAUGAGCCUGCGGCCCAUCAGGUAGUUGGUGAGGUAACGGCUCACCAAGCCGAAGACGGGUAACCGGUCUGAGAGGGUGACCGGCCCGAGGGGCACUGAGAUACGGGUCCCACUCCUACGGGAGGCAGCAGGCUAGAAAUUUGGGCAAUGGGGGAAACCCUGACCCAGUGACGCCGCGUGCAGGAAGGAGCCCUUCGGGGUGUAAACUGCUGUCGUGUAGGGAGAAGGGUACUAAGGUGAACAAUCUUAGUACUUGACGGUACUACAGGAGGAAGCCCAGGCUAACCUCGUGCCAGCAGCCGCGGUAAUAUAGCGUACUC